GUAGCGAAGUGGCUAAACGCGACGGACUGUAAAUCCGUUCCUUAGGGUUCAGUGGUUCGAAUCCACUU
rnacentral:tRNA from 1 species